rnacentral:rRNA from 1 species
CCGCUAGUUGGUGAGGUAAUGGCUCACCAAGGCAAUGACACCUAACUGGUUUGAGAGGAUGAUCAGUCACACUGGAACUGAGACACGGUCCAGACUCCUACGGGAGGCAGCAGUGGGGAAUAUUGCACAAUGGACGAAAGUCUGAUGCAGCAACGCCGCGUGGAGGAUGACACAUUUCGGUGCGUAAACUCCUUUUAUAUAGGAAGAUAAUGACGGUACUAUAUGAAUAAGCACCGGCUAACUCCGUGCCAGCAGCCGCGGUAAUACGGAGGGUGCAAGCGUUACUCGGAAUUACUGGGCGUAAAGAGCGUGUAGGCGGGUAAAUAAGUUGGAAGUGAAAUCCUAUGGCUCAACCAUAGAACUGCUUCCAAAACUGUUAACCUAGAAUGUGGGAGAGGUAGAUGGAAUUUCUGGUGUAGGGGUAAAAUCCGUAGAUAUCAGAAGGAAUACCGAUUGCGAAGGCGAUCUACUGGAACACUAUUGACGCUGAGACGCGAAAGCGUGGGGAGCAAACAGGAUUAGAUACCCUGGUAGUCCACGCCCUAAACGAUGUACACUAGUUGUUGUGAGGCUAGACCUUGCAGUAAUGCAGUUAACACAUUAAGCGUACCGCCUGGGGAGUACGGUCGCAAGAUUAAAACUCAAAGGAAUAGACGGGGACCCGCACAAGCGGUGGAGCAUGUGGUUUAAUUCGACAUACGCGAAGAACCUUACCUGGUCUUGACAUAGAAAGAACUUUCCAGAGAUGGAUUGGUGCCUGCUUGCAGGAGCUUUCAUACAGGUGCUGCACGGCUGUCGUCAGCUCGUGUCGUGAGAUGUUGGGUUAAGUCCCGCAACGAGCGCAACCCUCGUCGUUAGUUGCUAACAGUUCGGCUGAGAACUCUAACGAGACUGCCUACGCAAGUAGGAGGAAGGUGAGGACGACGUCAAGUCAUCAUGGCCCUUACGACCAGGGCUACACACGUGCUACAAUGGGGUAUACAAAGAGCAGCGAUACGGUGACGUGGAGCGAAUCUCAAAAAUGCCUCCCAGUUCGGAUAGUAGUCUGCAACUCGACUACUUGAAGUUGGAAUCGCUAGUAAUCGUAGAUCAGCUAUGCUACGGUGAAUACGUUCCCGGGUCUUGUACUCACCGCCCGUCACACCAUGGGAGUUGAAUUCAUUCGAAGCGGGGAUGCUAAAAUAGCUACCUUCCACAGUGGAUUUAGCGACUGGGGUGAAGUCGUAACAAGGUAACCGUAGGAGAACCUGCGGUUG